rnacentral:rRNA from 1 species
AACGAACGCUGGCGGCAGGCUUAACACAUGCAAGUCGAGCGCCUCGCAAGAGGAGCGGCAGACGGGUGAGUAACGCGUGGGAAUCUACCGUACCCUACGGAAUAGCUCUGGGAAACUGGAAGUAAUACCGUAUACGCCCUUUGGGGGAAAGAUUUAUCGGGGUAUCAUGAGCCCGCGUUGGAUUAGCUAGUUGGUGGGGUAAAGGCCUACCAAGGCGACGAUCCAUAGCUGGUCUGAGAGGAUGAUCAGCCACAUUGGGACUGAGACACGGCCCAAACUCCUACGGGAGGCAGCAGUGGGGAAUAUUGGACAAUGGGCGCAAGCCUGAUCCAGCCAUGCCGCGUGAGUUAUGAAGGUCUUAGGAUUGCAAAGCUCUUUCACCGAUGAAGAUAAUGACGGUAGUCGGAGAAGAAGCCCCGGCUAACUUCGUGCCAGCCGCCGCAGUAA